rnacentral:lncRNA from 1 species
CACCAAUCUUGCACCUAAACUAACACGGUCUCCAAUCAGAUUGAAGCGAGAUUCCAUAUGACACAUAUGAUCUAGGAGUUCUGUCGGGUGCGUCCAAAUUGAUUUCUGAGAAUAUGGUAUGUUCCAUGCAAACCGUACACCUAUCUUUCAUCAAGAUUAGCACUAUCUCCAAACAGACCGAACCGAGCUUUCACUUGAGCCUCUUCACCUAGGAGUACCAUCGGGAACUUCCACAACGAUUUCAGAGCCUAUGGUGCACUGGGCACAAACCAUGCAACUAUCUUGCACCAAAACUAAUACUAUCUCUGAUGAGGACAUCAGCACCAUCUAUACAUCCACACCUACACCCACACCAUCGCCAACACCACUUGGCCCUCUUACUCGUGCCCG